CUACGGGAGGCUGCAGUGAGGAAUUUUGCGCAAUGGGGGGAACCCUGACGCAGCAACGCCGUGUGAGUGAAGAAGGCCUUUGGGUCGUAAAGCUCUGUCAACUGGGAAGAAGUUACUGUGCUUUAAUAGAGUGCAGUAUUGACGGUACCAGUGGAGGAAGCGUCGGCUAACUCCGUGCCAGCAGCCGCGGUAACACGGGGGACGCAAGCGUUAUUCGGAAUUAUUGGGCGUAAAGGGCGCGUAGGCGGUCUUGUCGGUCAGGUGUGAAAGCCCGGGGCUCAACCCCGGACGUGCACUUGAAACAGCAAGACUUGAGUACGGGAGAGGAAAGCGGAAUUCCUGGUGUAGAGGUGAAAUUCGUAGAUAUCAGGAGGAACACCGAUGGCGAAGGCAGCUUUCUGGACCGAAACUGACGCUGAGGCGCGAAGGCGUGGGUAGCGAACGGGAUUAGAUACCCGCGUAGUC
rnacentral:rRNA from 1 species